rnacentral:rRNA from 1 species
GCUCGUAGUUGAAUUUUGGCCCGCGGCUGGGUGGUCUUGCCGCAAGGCUUGUACUGCUCUGGUCUGGGCUUUCCUUCUGGGGAACCAAGGUGCUCUUAACUGGGUGUUUUGGGGAUCCAGGACUUUUACUUUGAAAAAAUUAGAGUGUUUAAAGCGGGCGUUUGCUUGAAUACAUUAGCAUGGAAUAAUAGAAUAGGACUUUGGUUCUAUUUUGUUGGUUUCUAGGACCGAAGUAAUGAUUAAUAGGGAUAGUUGGGGGCAUUAGUAUUUAAUUGUCAGAGGUGAAAUUCUUGGAUUUAUGAAAGACUAACUUCUGCGAAAGCAUUUGCCAAGGAUAUUCUCAUUAAUCAAGAACGAAAGUUAGGGGAUCGAAGACGAUCAGAUACCGUCGUAGUCUUAACCAUAAACUAUGCCGACUAGGGAUCGGACGAUGUUUUAAUGACUCGUUCGGCACCUUAUGAGAAAUCAAAGUCUUUGGGUACCGGGGGGAGUAUGGUCGCAAGGCUGAAACUUAAAGGAAUUGACGGAAGGGCACCACCAGGAGUGGAGCCUGCGGCUUAAUUUGACUCAACACGGGGGAAACUCACCAGGUCCAGACAUGGUAAGGAUUGACAGAUUGAGAGCUCUUUCUUGAUUCUAUGGGGUGGUGGUGCAUGGCCGUUCUUUAGUUGGGUGGAGUGAUUUGUCUGGUUAAUUCCGUUAACGAAACGAGACCUUCACCCUGCUAAAUAGGUUGCGUUCACUGUUGGUGGACGAUCAACUUCUUAGAGGGACUAUGUGAUGUAUAAUUCAUGGAAGUUUGAGGCAAUAACAGGUCUGUGAUGCCCUUANAUGUUCUGGGGCCGCACGCGCGCUACACUGACAAAGGCAGCAAGUAUCACCUUGACCGGAAGGUCUGGGUAUCUU